rnacentral:lncRNA from 1 species
GGGUGAUGACUAGAAGUCGUUGAGGCAAGUGAGGCCUAAAAGUGAUUGACUCAGCCAAAUCAGGGAUUCGACUGUCACAUAGCAGGUCUUAAUUGUUGUCCCUUGGGUACAAAAUUCCUUCUAAUCAUGUGAGAUCAUGCACGAGAAGUUUGGCCGAAUUUGUUCUAUAAAAGGACUCAAAAUAAUUUUCCAACAAAAUCAACUCAGUUUUGUUUUCAGAACUUUUUUUUUGUAAAAAGGGAAAGAGGCUAGAAAAAUUCCAGCAUGCAAAUGAGGGUUU